UCAUUUCCGUGGACUACAUUAGUAGGUGAUCAAAAGUCUCAUGGUAUAGGUUGAUGACCCCCAUUGCACUUAGAAUAGGUGUUUACCAGAGGUCGACCCAAGUGGUCGAGCCUAUGUCAUAAUUUCUGAUAGUGUCGGUCCGUGCUUGCGGGUGACCC